UACGUAGGGUGCAAGCGUUUAAUCGGAAUUACUGGGCGUAAAGCGUGCGCAGGCGGUUUUGUAAGUCUGUCGUGAAAGCCCCGGGCUCAACCUGGGAAUUGCGAUGGAGACUGCAAGGCUUGAAUCUGGCAGAGGGGGGGUAGAAUUCCACGUGUAGCAGUGAAAUGCGUAGAUAUGUGGAGGAAUACCGAUGGCGAAGGCAGCCCCCUGGGAUAACACUGACGCUCAUGCACGAAAGCGUGGGGAGCAAACAGG
rnacentral:rRNA from 1 species